AGGCAGCGCAGAGAGAAGUGUUCAUAUGAAUCUUCUGAAAUGGUCCUACCAGGACAGAAGUACUACAGAAGUACUAACUCUGCCUGCCAUGGAAGCACUCUGUGACUCACAGUCUGUUGCAACCUAGCACUCUCAAGUGGAACAGUGAAGGUGUGCCACAGGCUGUCUGUGGAACCAGACACAACACGCCACUGCUGCUCUCCCUGGGUAUAUGCCCACUCUACAUGAAAUCCAAGAGUCUCUUUGUGCCAAAGUUAUUUUUCAAGCUAGACGAUGCAAUAAAAUGUACUUUUUUCGCAACUCU